ACCUGGACCAUCUGUCAGACAAAUCGUUGGAGCAAAUCCUCAUUAUUUUUUUUUUUUUACCUUUUUGUGGAUUUAACAUUGCCCUGUGGAGAACUGGGACCAACAGAGACACUUACCAGGAGGACUUGAGUUGGAUGCGCGGUACCGUGGUCAGUGACACCUUCUGAGCCUGCUUUCAGGAGAUCAUACAACACAGCUUGAUGUACUGCUUGUAGUAAGUAAAAAAGGCAGGACCCCCUUGCAUUCCUCCCUUCUGAAGGACAUCACAGGCCCCCUGCUGGACCUCCUGCAGUUUGCUUUUGGGGAAAGCAGGUCGGUAGAAGAUACGGUCAACAUGGGACUCAAUGCUCGGAUCCUGUUCGUAGACUUCAGCUUACAGUGCUGGCCUCCACCUGUUAGUGGAUCACCAACUUCCCGACGGACAGGAGGCAUCAAGUAAGGCUGGAGAACAUCACAUCCAGCAGCCACACAAUCAGCACCUACCUUGUUUACUUCUUAAAGUUUUGUAAUCAAUCAAAUAUCAAGCAGCUAAAAUAUGCCAAACAUGGAUAAGUGUGAGGAAAGUGUUUUGCAUUUUUCCCGUCAUCCAUUGUCAUGGAUUUGAAUUAGUGUAAUUUUGUAUUGUUUUGUAUAAUAUCCACAAA